rnacentral:rRNA from 1 species
CAGCCGCCGCGGUAAUACGUAGGUGGCAAGCGUUGUCCGGAAUUAUUGGGCGUAAAGCGCGCGCAGGUGGUUUAAUAAGUCUGAUGUGAAAGCUCACGGCUCAACCGUGGAGGGUCAUUGGAAACUGUUAAACUUGAGUGCGGGAGAGAAAAGUGGAAUUCCUAGUGUAGCGGUGAAAUGCGUAGAGAUUAGGAGGAACACCAGUGGCGAAGGCGGCUUUUUGGCCUGUAACUGACACUGAGGCGCGAAAGCGUGGGGAGCAAACAGGAUUAGAUACCCGUGUAGUCCCUGUCUCUUAUAC